UACGUAGGGACCGAGCGUUGUCCGGAUUCAUUGGGCGUAAAGAGCUCGUAGGCGGCUGCUCAAGUCGAAUGUGAAAACUCGAGGCUCAACCUCGAGCCUGCAUUCGAUACUGGGCGGCUAGAGUCUGGUAGGGGGAUCUGGAAUUCCUGGUGUAGCGGUGGAAUGCGCAGAUAUCAGGAGGAACACCGGUGGCGAAGGCGGGAUCCUGGGCCAGUACUGACGCUGAGGAGCGAAAGCGUGGGAGCAAACAGG
rnacentral:rRNA from 1 species